AUUGAACGCUGGCGGCAUGCUUUACACAUGCAAGUCGAACGGCAGCGCGGGCUUCGGCCUGGCGGCGAGUGGCGAACGGGUGAGUAAUGCAUCGGAACGUGCCCAGUAGUGGGGGAUAGCCCGGCGAAAGCCGGAUUAAUACCGCAUCCGACCUGAUGGUGAAAGCGGGGGACCGAAAGGCCUCGCGCUCUUUGAGCGGCCGAUGUCGGAUUAGUUAGCUGGUGGGUGAAAGGCUUACCAAGGCGACGAUCCGUAGCUGGUCUGAAAGGACGACCAGCCACACGGGGACUGAGACACGGCCCAGACUCCUACGGGAGGCAGCAGUCGGGAAUUUUGGACAAUGGGGGCAACCCUGAUCCAGCCAUGCCGCGUGCGGGAAGAAGGCCUUCGGGUUGUAAACCGCUUUUGUUCGGGAAGAAAUCCUCUGGGCUAAUACCCCGGGGGGAUGACGGUACCGGAAGAAUAAGCACCGGCUAACUACGUG
rnacentral:rRNA from 1 species